GAUGAACGCUGGCGGCGUGCCUAAUACAUGCAAGUCGAGCGAACAGACGAGGAACUUGCUCCUCUGACGUUAGCGGCGGACGGGUGAGUAACACGUGGAUAACCUACCUAUAAGACUGGGAUAACUUCGGGAAACCGGAGCUAAUACCGGAUAAUAUAUUGAACCGCAUGGUUCAAUAGUGAAAGACGGUUUUGCUGUCACUUAUAGAUGGAUCCGCGCCGCAUUAGCUAGUUGGUAAGGUAACGGCUUACCAAGGCAACGAUGCGUAGCCGACCUGAGAGGGUGAUCGGCCACACUGGAACUGAGACACGGUCCAGACUCCUACGAGAGGCAGCAGUAGGGAAUCUUCCGCGAUGGGCGAAAGCCUGACGGAGCAACGCAGCGUGAGUGAUGAAGGUCUUCGGAUCGUAAAACUCUGUUAUUAGGGAAGAAGAAAUGUGUAAGUAACUAUGCACGUCUUGACGGUACCUAAUCAGAAAGCCACGGCUAACUACGUG
rnacentral:rRNA from 1 species